GGGCGCGUAGCUCAGCUGGUUAGAGCGCACGGUUCACAUCCGUGAAGUCGGCGGUUCGAGUCCGCCCGUGCCCA
rnacentral:tRNA from 2 species